rnacentral:tRNA from 2 species
GGGCGGGUGGCGAAACUGGUAGACGCAGCAGACUCAAAAUCUGCCGGUAGCGAUACUAUGAGAGUUCGAUUCUCUCCCCGCCCA